CCAAUAGCGUAUAUUAAAGUUGCUGCAGUUAAAAAGCUCGUAGUUGAAUUUCGGGACCAAUAUGUCGGUCGUGCUUCGGUACGUACUGUCAUUAUUGGUUUCUCCCUUCUGAAGAACCUUGAUGUCAUUAAUUUGGUGUCUUGGGGAAUCAGGACUGUUACUUUGAAAAAAUUAGAGUGCUUAAAGCAGGCUCGCGCUUGAAUACAUUAGCAUGGAAUAAUGAAAUAGGACGUUUGAUUCUAUUUUGUUGGUUUCUAGGAUCGACGUAAUGAUUAAUAGGGAUAGUUGGGGGCAUUAGUAUUCAAUUGUCAGAGGUGAAAUUCUUGGAUUUAUUGAAGACUAACUACUGCGAAAGCAUUUGCCAAGGAUGUUUUCAUUAAUCAAGAACGAAAGUUAGGGGAUCGAAGACGAUCAGAUACCGUCGUAGUCUUAACCAUAAACUAUGCCGACUAGGGAUCGGAUGAUGUUAAUUUUUUAAUGACUCAUUCGGCGCCUUACG
rnacentral:rRNA from 1 species